GAGUUUGAUCCUGGCUCAGGAUGAACGCUGGCGGCGUGCCUAAUACAUGCAAGUCGAGCGAACAGAUAAGGAGCUUGCUCCUUUGACGUUAGCGGCGGACGGGUGAGUAACACGUGGGUAACCUACCUAUAAGACUGGAAUAACUCCGGGAAACCGGGGCUAAUGCCGGAUAAUAUUUAGAACCGCAUGGUUCUAAAGUGAAAGAUGGUUUUGCUAUCACUUAUAGAUGGACCCGCGCCGUAUUAGCUAGUUGGUGGGGUAAUGGCUUACCAAGGCAACGAUACGUAGCCGACCUGAGAGGGUGAUCGGCCACACUGGAACUGAGACACGGUCCAGGCUCCUACGGGAGGCAGCAGUAGGGAAUCUUCCGCAAUGGGCGAAAGCCUGACGGAGCAACGCCGCGUGAGUGAUGAAGGUCUUCGGAUCGUAAAACUCUGUUAUUAGGGAAGAACAAAUGUGUAAGUAACUGUGCACGUCUUGACGGUACCUAAUCAGAAAGCCACGGCUAACUACGUGCCAGCAGCCGC
rnacentral:rRNA from 1 species